rnacentral:rRNA from 1 species
GAUGAACGCUGGCGGCGUGCUUAACACAUGCAAGUCGAACGGUGAAGGCGGAGCUUGCUCUGCUGGAUCAGUGGCGAACGGGUGAGUAACACGUGAGCAAUCUGCCCCUGACCCUGGGAUAAGCGCUGGAAACGGCGUCUAAUACUGGAUACGAGCUGCGAAGGCAUCUUCAGCAGCUGGAAAGAAUUUCGGUCAGGGAUGAGCUCGCGGCAUAUCAGCUUGUUGGUGAGGUAAUGGAUCACCAAGGCGUCGACGGGUAGCCGGCCUGAGAGGGUGACCGGCCACACUGGGACUGAGACGCGGCCAAGACUCCUACGGGAGGCAGCGGUGGGGAAUAUAGCACAAUGGGCGAAAGCAUGAUGCAGCAACGCCGCGUGGGGGACGACGGCCUUCGGGUUGUAAACCUCUUUUGGCAGGGAAGAACCGAAAGUGACGGUACCUGAAGAAAAAGCGCCGGCUAACUACGUG